AACGAACGCUGGCGGCAGGCUUAACACAUGCAAGUCGAACGCAUCCUUCGGGGUGAGUGGCAGACGGGUGAGUAACGCGUGGGAACGUGCCCUUCAGUUCGGGAUAACCCAGGGAAACUUGGGCUAAUACCGGAUACGUGCGAGAGCAGAAAGAUUUAUCGCCGAAGGAUCGGCCCGCGUCUGAUUAGCUAGUUGGUGGGGUAAUGGCCCACCAAGGCGACGAUCAGUAGCUGGUCUGAGAGGGUGAUCGGCCACAUUGGGACUGAGACACGGCCCAGACUCCUACGGGAGGCGGCAGUGGGGAAUAUUGGACAAUGGGGGCAACCCUGAUCCAGCAAUGCCGCGUGAGUGAUGAAGGCCUUAGGGUUGUAAAGCUCUUUUACCAGGGAUGAUAAUGACAGUACCUGGAGAAUAAGCUCCGGCUAACUCCGUGCCAGCAGCCGCAGUAA
rnacentral:rRNA from 1 species